rnacentral:rRNA from 1 species
AUUGAACGCUGGCGGCAGGCCUAACACAUGCAAGUCGAACGGUAACAGGGAUCAGCUUGCUGAUUCGCUGACGAGUGGCGGACGGGUGAGUAAUGUCUGGGAAACUGCCUGAUGGAGGGGGAUAACUACUGGAAACGGUAGCUAAUACCGCAUAACGUCGCAAGACCAAAGAGGGGGACCUUCGGGCCUCUUGCCAUCGGAUGUGCCCAGAUGGGAUUAGCUAGUAGGUGGGGUAACGGCUCACCUAGGCGACGAUCCCUAGCUGGUCUGAGAGGAUGACCAGCCACACUGGAACUGAGACACGGUCCAGACUCCUACGGGAGGCAGCAGUGGGGAAUAUUGCACAAUGGGCGCAAGCCUGAUGCAGCCAUGCCGCGUGUAUGAAGAAGGCCUUCGGGUUGUAAAGUACUUUCAGCGGGGAGGAAGGGAGUAAAGUUAAUACCUUUGCUCAUUGACGUUACCCGCAGAAGAAGCACCGGCUAACUCCGU